CCCGUUUAUUCAAACCUGCUAUUUUUCUUUCUAAUAAAACUUUUCAACUUGGACCAACGCUCACUAACUGGAAUUAAUAUCUAAAUAUUGUCUUUUUAAAUUUUGAAUUCAAAUUGUAAACCUUGAAAACCCCAAAUCUCCUCUAUUCUCAGGUUCUGCCUCUUUCCCAGUUUACUGGAUAUCAAUCCCUCACCUUCUCUCUACAAGGACAAUCCGUUGUCUCUCUACGACCACCAGAGGCGCUUUCUUUGACCAUCCAAGGAUCUUCUAGCUGAGAUCACCUCUCUCUCUCAUUUCUAUUUUUUUCUCUUAUUACAUGUGGGGAGCAACAAGAGGAGCGAUUUACAAAUAGAUCAAUGGACCUAUGAGGAUUGAAGAACUUUCGGCACGUGUAAAUAAAAAAUGGCUCGAACCUUCCCUCCAUCUUAAUUUCAAUUAAAACCGAAAUCUUCUCUUCAUUUCAAUCCCCAUCAAGAUAGCAGGAAAUGAAUCCCCAAUUCAAAUCAGGGAGAAGGUAUGAGGUGUGAACUUGCCCCCAAUAGGCAAUUUGGGUUCAAAUAGUGAAAUUGUGUCACUGGAAUCAGAGUUUGUUUCCUUUUUGGUGGGUGAAUUAAACUGCAGUCCUGAUCUUGAUCUGCAAAAUCGCAAACCUUGAUUACUUGGCAAAAAAUCAGCUAAGUGAACCUACGAUAUCACAAUCUCAUGUGUAUCUAUUUAUUUUUCAUUUCAUUACAAGGUUGUCUUAGUUUCUGCUUACUUCUUUUUUGCUUUAUGUUGAGUUUGGCUUACUUAAACUAAAACGUUUACUCGACAUGGAAUUUGAUACUUGAAUGGUUUCUUGAAACAGUAAAGGGUCCCAAGUUCUGAUGAGCUAUGAUUUUGGGGGUAUAUUUUUUUCUUGAUUUUGUGUCCUCAAUGGUACAGUUCAGCCCCCGUAUGAAAUCAUGUGCUUUCCAGUUAUGCCAAUCUCAGAGAAGCUCUUCUGUGGCCAGUUAACUUGUCUCCCCAACAAAUUCAUUAACUGAUUUUGCGUUACUUGGGUUGUUCGGUGAAGACUCUCAAGAAAUUUAGUUUUCAUGAAGUCAAGGUCAUUGCAACAAUACCCUCAAUGAUACUCUUUAAAUAUUGGUAGAGGAAAUAAUUUCAGCUGCAGUGUGGCUUCAAUGAUUUUAUGUUCUCAAAUGUAAAAUCCAAAUGAAUGUUGCACGAAGUUGAACCAAUGGGAACGACUUUAGCAAGAAGUUGGUCUGCUUAUUCAACUCUUUAGCAGAAGCAACUACAAAGGUUCUAGGCUUGAUAAAACUGAGAAAUCUCUCUUGGGAAUUGGAUCGUUUUGUUGCAAUUUAUUAUUGGGUUUUUUGGUUUAGAUCAAAACCAAUCAAAAUCUGAUGUUGGAAAGAAGCUUUGUACGAAUGGUAGUGGUAGUAGUGUUAGAAUAGUGAUAUUGGGAUGCGAUUAUGUUGCAAACACCAUUUUUGGUAUAUUUGGCCUUUUCCAAGGGGCCUCCAACUAUUGUAACUUUCUGAAAUAGUAAUACAAUCCUUCUUAGCACCCCAACA